GCGGGGCCUUGCCGAUGAGGCUGACGCCAUCGAGGCUGAUUUCCCCGGCGGUGGCUUCGUAGAUGCCGUUGAUGCAGUUCAGCAUCGUGGUCUUGCC
rnacentral:tRNA from 1 species